GAUGAACGCUGGCGGCGUGCCUAAUACAUGCAAGUCGAGCGAACGGACGAGGAGCUUGCUUCGCUGAUGUUAGCGGCGGACGGGUGAGUACCACGUGGAUAACCUACCGAUAAGGAUGGGGUAACUUCGGGAAACCGGAGCUAAUACCGGUUAAUAUUUUGAACCGCAUGGUUCAACAGUGAAAGACGGUCUUGCUGUCACUUAUACAUGGACCCGCGCUGAAUUAGCUAUUGGGUAGGGUAACGGCUUACCAAGGCAACGAUGCAUAGCCGACCUGAGAGGGGGAUAGGCCACACUGAAAUUGAGACCCGUUCCAGCCCCCUACGGGAGGCAGCGGUGGGAAAUUUUGCGCAAUGGGCGAAAGCCUGACGGAGCAACGCCGCGUGGGUGAUGAAGGUCUUCGGUUCGUAAGACUCUGUUAUUGGGGAAGAACAUAUGUGUAAGUAACUGUGCACAUCUUGAGGGUACCUAAGCAUAAAGCCACGCCUACCUACUU
rnacentral:rRNA from 1 species